CAGCUACUGACCAGGGAUGGAUGAAUCCACCAGGAUGCUUUGGGACCUUCUGAAGCAGUGGGAGUUGUAGAGUUCCUCUAUGAAAUAAAAAAAAGCUAUGAAAGAUCAAAGAAGAAGCAAAGCCUCAGCCAGCACAGUGGUUUCCCUUUAGUGGGAUCAGUGAUCUGGUAAAUAGUGUUCUUCAGCCCCAGCAAAAGCCCCAAAAUGACAAGGAGCCAGAGCCAGAUGC